AAGCUUUCUAUAGGAAUGCUCCUCCAAAUUAAGCAAAAGAAUGAGCCAUAAAGAAUUACCAACAUCAUAUACCAACAAAUCAACUGUGUCGCUCACAGGCGGUUUGGCAACCGCCAAAAACCCUAGCAAUUGCCUGCGGUUUCAACUGCCGCUGUGUGCUCCUCCUCAACACAGUUGUAGAAGGACACGAAUAUAGCUCUCGAGAAUAGUUCGAAUUUGCGUGCAUGAGGAGGACAAGAAAUAGUUUGAAGUUGCGAAUCUGAAGGAGAAGAUUGAUAGAUCCAGGUUCGAAGAGUGGAGGUGGUAUGAAUUGAUUCUCUACUGCAUAAAGCAACAUGUUUCAUCUGGAUUUCAUGGAGCUAUUGAAUUAGAACUUGGCACUAGAACUUGCAUUGAGCAAUGUAGAUGACAAGUGCAUAAAUCACAGAGUGGCUGAGGCUGUGGAGAGCUAGGAGGCUCUCAGGAUGCAUUGAUUUGGGUUGUGUCCGCAAAGGAUGUCAUGGUUUGGUUUUCGUUAAUAUCUAUCACUAUUUGCAUUGUGUAAGCUAUUUAUGCAAAGCUAUAGAUAGUAACUAUUCACAUUCAGCAAUGAACAUGAUUAUUAACACUUUUGUCAUUUUCAAUUUGUUUAAGUUUUCAAUAUUGUUCUGGAGUAGACUAGAAUUAGUCCACUUCAUAUCCCCUAAGUCCAUAAUGGCUUGCCCCACCACAUCCAUGUCAGCAGAACAUGGUGGAACCUCUCCACCAAGAUAGGAGUAGAUCCCUGCUUCACCCACUAUCUAAGGGUAAUAUCUUGGCAGUCCAACAUAUUGGGCCUAACCUGAUCCAACCUAAUAGAGCUGGGGGGCUAUAUAAGCUCUUCUAUACAGGAGAGCUAGGUAACACUAUUCAUUCACUCAAUUACUUUCUCUCUCUUGUAUCUCUCUUACUCUCAUUCCCACUCUAACUUUGGCAUCGGAGUACCUGCAGGUACAAACCCCCCCUCUGUGGAUCAUCUGCUCGACCCGCCGUCAACCACCUGCUCAAUGGACUGCUAGUUGACCAUCUACAUGUUCUGAUCAACAGAUAAGACCAAAUAUGAUGGUCUAUAGCUAGCUUGUAGUUCAUCUAAAUUAGGACACUAAACUGAGAUGUUAUGUAUGUCAAAUAUGUGAUGAGAAUAGUAUAAUUUAUAACCAAUUGAA